AUUGAACGCUGGCGGCAGGCCUAACACAUGCAAGUCGAACGAGUGGCGGACGGGUGAGUAAUGUCUGGGAAACUGCCUGACGGAGGGGGAUAACUACUGGAAACGGUAGCUAAUACCGCAUACCAUCGGAUGUGCCCAGAUGGGUUUAGUUAGUAGGUGGGGUAAAGGCUAACCUUGGCGCCGAUCCCUAGCCGGUCUGAGAGGAUGACCAGCCACACUGGAACUGAGACCCGGUCCAGACUCCGACGGGAGGCAGCAGUGGGGAAUAUUGCACAAUGGGCGCAAGCCUGAUGCAGCCAUGCCGCGUGUAUGAAGAAGGCCUUCGGGUUGUAAAGUACUUUCAGCGGGGAGGCGUUACCCGCAUAAGAAGCACCGGCUAACUCCGUGCCAGCCGCCGCGGUAAUUC
rnacentral:rRNA from 1 species